rfam:Escherichia coli IAI39 chromosome, complete genome.
UGUAACAAAGUUGCCAUAGCGAUUCUCCUUCUGAUAACGCAUACGAAGAAAGUGUAAAUCUUUUAACGUAUUGGAUACAGAGAAGAAACAGAGGGAAAAAAGGAGAAGACCAGAUUAAGAAAAUCUGGUGCGUCCGAGUGGACUCGAACCACCGACCCCCACCA